GGGUUGUGAGGUUAAGCGACUAAGCGUACACGGUGGAUGCCCUGGCAGUCAGAGGCGAUGAAGGACGUGCUAAUCUGCGAUAAGCGUCGGUAAGGUGAUAUGAACCGUUAUAACCGGCGAUUUCCGAAUGGGGAAACCCAGUGUGUUUCGACACACUAUCAUUAACUGAAUCCAUAGGUUAAUGAGGCGAACCGGGGGAACUGAAACAUCUAAGUACCCCGAGGAAAAGAAAUCAACCGAGAUUCCCCCAGUAGCGGCGAGCGAACGGGGAGCAGCCCAGAGCCUGAAUCAGUGUGUGUGUUAGUGGAAGCGUCUGGAAAGGCGCGCGAUACAGGGUGACAGCCCCGUACACAAAAAUGCACAUGCUGUGAGCUCGAUGAGUAGGGCGGGACACGUGGUAUCCUGUCUGAAUAUGGGGGGACCAUCCUCCAAGGCUAAAUACUCCUGACUGACCGAUAGUGAACCAGUACCGUGAGGGAAAGGCGAAAAGAACCCCGGCGAGGGGAGUGAAAAAGAACCUGAAACCGUGUACGUACAAGCAGUGGGAGCACGCUUAGGCGUGUGACUGCGUACCUUUUGUAUAAUGGGUCAGCGACUUAUAUUCUGUAGCAAGGUUAACCGAAUAGGGGAGCCGAAGGGAAACCGAGUCUUAACUGGGCGUUAAGUUGCAGGGUAUAGACCCGAAACCCGGUGAUCUAGCCAUGGGCAGGUUGAAGGUUGGGUAACACUAACUGGAGGACCGAACCGACUAAUGUUGAAAAAUUAGCGGAUGACUUGUGGCUGGGGGUGAAAGGCCAAUCAAACCGGGAGAUAGCUGGUUCUCCCCGAAAGCUAUUUAGGUAGCGCCUCGUGAAUUCAUCUCCGGGGGUAGAGCACUGUUUCGGCAAGGGGGUCAUCCCGACUUACCAACCCGAUGCAAACUGCGAAUACCGGAGAAUGUUAUCACGGGAGACACACGGCGGGUGCUAACGUCCGUCGUGAAGAGGGAAACAACCCAGACCGCCAGCUAAGGUCCCAAAGUCAUGGUUAAGUGGGAAACGAUGUGGGAAGGCCCAGACAGCCAGGAUGUUGGCUUAGAAGCAGCCAUCAUUUAAAGAAAGCGUAAUAGCUCACUGGUCGAGUCGGCCUGCGCGGAAGAUGUAACGGGGCUAAACCAUGCACCGAAGCUGCGGCAGCGACGCUUAUGCGUUGUUGGGUAGGGGAGCGUUCUGUAAGCCUGUGAAGGUGUGCUGUGAGGCAUGCUGGAGGUAUCAGAAGUGCGAAUGCUGACAUAAGUAACGAUAAAGCGGGUGAAAAGCCCGCUCGCCGGAAGACCAAGGGUUCCUGUCCAACGUUAAUCGGGGCAGGGUGAGUCGACCCCUAAGGCGAGGCCGAAAGGCGUAGUC
rnacentral:rRNA from 1 species